UACGGAGGGGGCGAGCGUUAUUCGGAAUUAUUGGGCGUAAAGGGCGCGUAGGCGGCCAGACAGGUCCGUUGUGAAAACUCGAGGCUCAACCUCGAGACGCCGAUGGAAACCGUCUGGCUAGAGUCCGGAAGAGGAGAGUGGAAUUCCUGGUGUAGCGGUGAAAUGCGCAGAUAUCAGGAAGAACACCCGUGGCUAAGGCGGCUCUCUAGUACGGUACUGACGCUGAGACGCGAAAGCGUGGGGAGCGAACAGG
rnacentral:rRNA from 1 species